AUUGAACGCUGGCGGCAGGCCUAACACAUGCAAGUCGAACGUGUGGCGGACUGGUGAGUAUUGUGUGGGAAUUUGCCUGAUGGAGGGGGACAACUACUGGAAACGGUAGCUGAUACCGCAUACCAUCAGCUUUGCCCAGAUGGGAUGAGCUAGGUGGUGGGGUAACGGCGCACCAAGGCGACGUUCCCUAGCUGGUCUGAGAGGGUGACCAGCCCGACUGGCACGGAUGCACGGUCCAAACUCCUACGGGAGACAGCGCUGGGGAAUAUUGCACGAUGGGCGCAAGCCUGAUGCAUCCAGGCCGCGUGUAUGACGAAGCCACGCGGGUUGUAAAGUACUUUCGGCUGGGAGGCGGUACCCGCAGAAGAAGCACCGGCUAACUCCGUGCCAGCAGCCGCGGUAAUAC
rnacentral:rRNA from 1 species